UACGGGGGGGGCAAGCGUUGUUCGGAAUUACUGGGCGUAAAGGGCUCGUAGGUGGCCAACUAAGUCAGACGUGAAAUCCCUCAGCUUAACUGGGGAACUGCGUCUGAUACUGGAUGGCUUGAGUUUGGGAGAGGGAUGCGGAAUUCCAGGUGUAGCGGUGAAAUGCGUAGAUAUCUGGAGGAACACCGGUGGCGAAGGCGGCAUCCUGGACCAAUAUUGACGCUGAGGAGCGAAAGCCAGGGGAGCAAACGGG
rnacentral:rRNA from 1 species